ensembl:lncRNA
AUGUCCAGUACUGUAGAUUUGACAUCUCCUGCAUAUUUUGAUGGAGUAUUUGUAUCAGUGUCAGAGGUCCCCCUGCACUCGGUCAAUAUAGAGGUUUUUAAAACCCAGCUGGACUUCCUCCUGUCACAUUUUGACAUCCAGUAUAAUAACAGAACCAUCAAGACAGCUGGAGAUGAAAUGGAGCUCUUUAGUAUGGUUAACUACCUGUUCAGGACUGUGUUUAAAAAUCAGGAGGAGAUGAAGACCUUCUUACAGUAUGUCAGCACUGAAGCAACAGAGAGGAAGUGGGGGAGAAAGAGUCCGAACAUGACGCUCAGAAAAGAGUCCAACUGGAUUCCUCAUAUACAGAUGAAACCAAAGCGAGAUCCCUGGCAACAAAAACAAAUGGCUAAACUCAAGGAGCUCAGAUCAAUGGAUGAACUUCUCCAGAUGCACAGCAAGUUCCUGGAGGAGUCCGAUCUUCAUAAAGUGACUGAUGCUUUAAAGCAGUACAUCGCAUCUGUUUGUCAACAAGAACCCACAAAACCUUCAUCCAUCAGCACAGCGACCCUCAAAGAAGCUUCUGACAUAUGGAGAAGCAUUUAUAACACAGCAAACAUGUUUCAGGUGAACAUCUGUGUAACUGGUAGACUCUGUUUUCUUUUUAAAUACAUGUUUCUGGUCUUAUUGUGAACAAUUCUUCAGUGCACUUUGUUCGAAAUAAUGCAAAUAUUUAUCUUUCAUGUUAACUUUAAAGAAAUAACAUUAUUUUUUCAUUGUAUGCACAUUAUUUUCUUUUUUUCCCCCAGGUGGCCACUGGACAGACUUCUCAUUUAUCUAAAUACACAGAUCAGAAAAACUCUGAGAAAAAGAAUGAAGGGUAAUUUUCCAAACACUGAAAUGUGUCUAUGAGUGUGUUUGUGAGGGUUUCUUUCAACAGCUCUCUGUCUUCUAGCAUUGCUGGUCAAAGCAGUGGUGCUUAUCUUCUUGAGAAGGAUGAAGAUGCUGAAGAUGGUGCCAAGGAUCCUGUAACAGUUAGAGGAGCUUAUGCAUCUUUAAUCUACCUGAGACACCUCAGGAUCAGAGAACUUAAGGUAAAAAACUGUCAAAAACUGGCAUUAUAGAUAUAAAAGAUUUCAGAGGUUUUGGUCUUUCCACCUACAGAAGCAUCAAAAAGUUUUACCAUACUUUUUUAAAUGUGUACCAUGCUAAAAUGUUUUUUUGUUUUGUUUUGCAUGAGUUACUUCUCCUGCUAUCGAAAUAAGGGUUUUAUUUUAUUUUUGUUGUAUUUAUGUUUAUUUGUGUAGCGUACCUGUCUGAGCAUGCUAAACUACCUGCGGUCAGUGGAGAGGACUCUGGUGAUGGACACCGCUGGUCUGGAGUUGGUUGGAGGAGAUCUGGUGAGAAGUAUGGAGGAGACAGGCUGGAUGAAUGCUGCUAGAGGAGACGAUGGCUCAAACGGAGCUCUUGGAUCACAUCACUACAUCUACAACAGCCCAGUUGACUAUAAGGUUCCUUACUUGCAGAUUCAUGCAGUGUUUUAAGGAAAAAACAAUGCUAUGUGAAAAGCAGAGAGUGUUAAAUCUCUGCUCUGCUUUAGGUCCACUGUGCAGAGUUUAUGGAGUUUCCUGAGGUGGAGAACCUCCAUGACUAUUACAGCACAGACGGGAGCUGCAUCCACACGCAGGACCAG